rnacentral:sRNA from 1 species
GCCAGGUGAAGUGGCACACAUCUGUAAUCCCAGCAACUUGGGAGACUGAGACAGGAGGAUUGCAAGUUUGAGGCCAGUCUCAGCAAGUGAGUGAGACCUCAACAACUUAGUGAGAUCCUGUCUCUA